rnacentral:lncRNA from 1 species
GUACAGCCAUGUCAAGGAUACAAUGCCUCAGACCCCUGGGAUAGCAAGGCCUUCCCACGGUUCUCCAGAUGUUGGCAGUGUAUAUUUGCCACAGUUUCCUCCUCCCAGAUCACUGCAAUACGAGACUACUCCCUCACAAAGACCCUCUAGCAAGUGUCUCCAAGUGAAACGUGCAUGCAAGUUUUACACAGGGCCACGUCCUGCUCAAUGAAUGUGAGAAACUGUAGAAGCUGUAGAGAUGCUUCUUGUCCUUUUAAAGAUCUGAAUGCCGUCUGUUUCCCUAAACCAUCGACUCCACCUCUGCCUGGAAAUACUUGGAUUUUUAAGGACCAAGAGCACGAUCAUGUGUUUUUCUGUAGAGAAUGCCUGGUUCUACUUUUUUAAAAAUUUAAACUUAUUAAUACCAGAGGUCAUAAAAGUGAGCAGAUUUCAAACUCAACUUGUAUCUUACAGACUUGUCAAAGAAAACUCUGUUCAAAGCUUGUACUACAGCAGGAUUACUGGACAAGUAUUGCUACUUGGUCUAAAUGAGACUCACUGUGCUUUGUGGUCACUGUGGGCUUGUGCUUUGGAACUGUGAUUCAGAACCACUCAAAGUCCCCUUUGUUCGAAGGCAGGGAAUACAUCUCCAAACACGUUUCCAAGACUCAAGAUCUCACCUUUCAGAUGGAAAGUAGCACAGAGAUCUGCUACCGGACAAUGUACAGAGAGUGAGAGGCUUUAGAGAGCUCGGUCCUAAACGGGAGGUCUUCAUCAAACCCCUCCCUCAAGGCUCGGGGAUCUAUGCGGAAGAGAAGGCAAAAGGAUCCCAAGAACCAGAGGUGCUGGAUGACUACAAGGUGACAGCUUCCCCAAGACACAACUGGACUGAUGCACUAUGAGCUCAGAGACUGUGGUACUGCACGUCGGACCUUGCACAGGCUCAUAUCAGAUGGGAUACCAGCGCUGAGGAGGGGGAGUAGAUACAAGGUCCACCGCUAACCAACACGUUAUUUGCAAUUGAUAUCUGCUGGCAGAGGGAAAAUCGGUUUUCUACAAUGAACCAUGACUGGAUCUAUCAACCAUAAUCCAGGGAAGGCCCCCACCGUCCCCCCCCCACUACUAACUUCAUUUUAUCAUCUUUGUCUUAUUUGUUGUUUUAUUUGUUUUUUUGUUUGUGUUUGAAAAAGAGAGAAAACACGCAAUUGGGUGGGUAGAGAGGUGAGGAAAAUCUGGAAAGAGUUUGGGAAGAGGAAAAAUGUGAUGAAAAUGUUAUUUUAUGAAAAACAUUUUAAGUAAAAAGUUUAAAAAAAAAAAGCCGGGCAGUGGUGGCACAUACCUUUAGUCCCAGCACUAGGGAGGCAGAGGCAAGAUGAUCUCUUUGAGUUCAAGACCAGCCUGGUCUACAAGAGCUAGCUCCAGGACAGCCUCUAAAGCCACAGAGAAACCCCGCCUCGAAAAACCCAAAAAAACAAAACAACAACAACAAAAAACCCAAAAAAUCAAAACAAAUUGUCAAUGAACAUUUUAUUUUACUGAAAGUGUUAUUCUACUUUUAUUAGUCAUUACUAGCAACUUUACUUUUAAUAGAAAUCAUAACUUGUAUUUGUAUUUGUAGGUGAAUUUUAAGAUGGAAAUAUUUGUGAAGGGCUACUUGUUAGUGUAACAACAGUGGCCAGAUCCAUGGGUUUUAGGGGGACAUUGGCAGGAAGGUCUCCGUGAGCAAGGACCCUCUGGGACUGAAGGCUUCCUGAGGCCAGAGAUUUUUGAUUUAUGUACUCCCGGCUCUGUCUAACAAAGUGCCUGACGUAUUGUUAAAGAGAUCUCUGAGAGUGUUUGCUGCUUUUUCCCCCCUCUUUGUACACAAAUUUUCUCUUUCAGCCAAUGUUUUCACAAAAAGAGAAUGACUUUGCUGCUUUUUGAUGAACAGCUGGGUUCUGCUGCCUAAUGCGUUCUUGAAAGAUGAAGUAAUCUUGAGAACUCUGACAUGCUUGGGUGACUGUUUCCUACUCUCUUGCUCAUAGUUUUCAGUGACAUUAUUUAUGAAACUUUUCCUUUAUUUAAUAAUUAAAUUAGAUCAGAAAUGUAUCUAAUAUUAAAUGUUUAAGUAUCCAAAUAAAAGAAUUCUCAGUGUUCAGAGUUGAAAAGGGGAAAGGGUCAUUAUAUUCCAUUAUUGUUGUUAUGUGUGUUGGGAGGGUGCUCAUAGGGGGCCAGAUGACAGUCUUGUGGAGUAGGUUCUUUCUUUUCCUGGGCUCCCGGGACUGAACUCAGAUUAUCAGGUUGGGUGACAAAUGCCUUUACCAUCUCUCUGGCACUAGAUUUUUAUUGUUGCUAAAAAUUUCAGUUGAUUAAUGUCUUUCCUAGUCUACGACCCGUAGCCAUCAAUAAAUGUCAUCAGCACCAAAAUUAAAAGUGUAUUUCAUAAUCAAAUGAAACUUUUGAGAAAUAAUUUCUCAAGGGCUUUCCAUAACUGGAGGGUGUCUGUGUGGAGUGCUCACGGGACUCUGCCUGAAUCAUGGCAGGUGGCCGCCUGUCUAUGCAUGUGAAUGGCACCCGGUUUCAUUGGCCUUCCUGAGUAAUUACAGUGCCAUUGGCCCUGAGCCAGCAUCAGAGCUUCAAAAAUGAGUAGAGACAUCAUAUCCAAAACCUAUGUGUUAUGGAUACAAUAUUGGUAUGAACACAGACAAAAUACAAUGAUGUAAAUAAAACAAUGGGUGUCUAGAUAUUGAUAAUGCCCAGCCCUAUAUUCAUACUUCUCCCGGCCUGUGUGGGUUUGGAUGGGAGGACUGGGUGAUAUACCACAUCCCCCUUUUCUGCUUUGUAUUUUAAGACAGAGUGAAGUUGUCUAGGCUGGACAUGAAUCUGCUCUGUAGCCCAGGCAGGCUGUAAGUUUGUGGUCUUGAAGGGACCAGCUCCCCAUUUAGGCAGCCAUAACAGCCAAACACAUGUGCCUUUAUUGUCUGACCUUGUCUUAGUCACUAGGAGGUCAGACGUCUGCCUCAUGGCA